GAAACAUCCCGUUCCGGUGGUCGACGGGGAAUGGCGCGGAUCGGACGGCGGUGGCGAUAACCUUCUGGAUGGAGAGGCGAGUGAGGUCGGUGCCGUGGGAGUGGUGGAGGUCAGAGUGUUCGCCGGCGAUGACGAUGGAGCGGGAGACAUUGGCACCGGUUUGAUCAGUGUAAAGCGAGACGGUCUGCCACCACUGAGAGACAGAAGGGGAAGGAGCGGUGCGGCGGGGAUCGGUGGCUGAAAUGGAGAGGAGAAAAUCCUUGAUUAGCAAUUUCUGGGAAACAGACCAUUUUCCGUACCAAAUUAAGUAAAUGUUGAUGGGAGAAGAGGAAAGAACAGGGCCCAUAUGGUAUCGGAGGUUGACAAAAUCGGAGGAGCCCUCGAAUUUCUUGGAAGAGGAGAGGGAAUUUGGGGGAAGUUUAGGGUUGAAGAAACGGGUGUUGGUGUGGAGGGUUUGGAAAGAAGGAGAGGCGACGGCCAUUGAAGAAGAAAGAAAGGUUGCAGAGAAGGAGAGAAGGAGGAGGAAGAAGAGAAACGCCA
rnacentral:misc_RNA from 1 species